rnacentral:rRNA from 1 species
ACUGAGACAGGUCCAGACUCCUACGGGAGGCAGCAAGUGGGGAAUCUUGCGCAAUGGGCGGAAGCCUGACGCAGCGACGCCGCGUGCGGGAGGAAGGCCCUCGGGUCGUAAACCGCUUUCAGCAGGGACGAGGCCGCAAGGUGACGGUACCUGCAGAAGAAGCCCCGGCUAACUACGUGC